UACGUAGGGUGCAAGCGUUAAUCGGAAUUACUGGGCGUAAAGCGUGCGCAGGCGGCUAUGCAAGACAGAUGUGAAAUCCCCGGGCUCAACCUGGGAACUGCAUUUGUGACUGCAUGGCUAGAGUGCGGCAGAGGGGGAUGGAAUUCCGCGUGUAGCAGUGAAAUGCGUAGAUAUGCGGAGGAACACCGAUGGCGAAGGCAAUCCCCCGGCG
rnacentral:rRNA from 1 species